rnacentral:rRNA from 1 species
AAGGCUCAACCUUCGAAGAGCCGAUGGAUACUGCCGGGCUAGAGUCCGGAAGAGGCGAGUAGAAUUCCUGGUGUACGCGGUGGAAUGCGCAGAUAUCAGGAGGAAUACCAAUAGCGAAGGCAGCUCGCUGGGACGGUACUGACGCUAAGGCGCGAAAGCGUGGGGAGCGAACAGGAUUAGAUACCCUGGUAGUCCACGCCGUAAACGAUGGGCACUAGGUGUGGGAGGUGUCGACUCCUCCCGCGCCGACGCUAACGCAUUAAGUGCCCCGCCUGGGGAGUACGGCCGCAAGGCUAAAACUCAAAGGAAUUGACGGGGACCCGCACAAGCAGCGGAGCAUGUGGUUUAAUUCGACGCAACGCGAAGAACCUUACCUGGGCUUGACAUGUUGGUGACCGGUGUGGAAACACAUCUUUCCUUCGGGACACCAUCACAGGUGGUGCAUGGCUGUCGUCAGCUCGUGUCGUGAGAUGUC